rnacentral:rRNA from 1 species
UGCAAGUCGAGCGGCAGCGGGCCUUCGGGUGCCGGCGAGCGGCGGACGGGUGAGUAAUACGUGGGAAUCUGCCUAUAGGUGGGGGAUAGCCCGGAGAAAUCCGGAUUAAUACCGCAUAAUACCUGAGGGUUAAAACGGAGGAUCGCAAGACUUCGUGCCUAUAGAUGAGCCCACGUCAGAUUAGCUAGUUGGUAGGGUAAAGGCCUACCAAGGCGACGAUCUGUAGCUGGCCUGAGAGGGUGGCCAGCCACACUGGAACUGAGACACGGUCCAGACUCCUACGGGAGGCAGCAGUGGGGAAUAUUGGACAAUGGGCGCAAGCCUGAUCCAGCCAUGCCGCGUGUGUGAAGAAGGCCUUCGGGUUGUAAAGCACUUUAAGUUGGGAGGAAGGUUGCUUGGCUAAUAUCCAAGCGAAUUGACGUUACCAACAGAAUAAGCACCGGCUAAUUCCGUGCCAGCAGCCGCGGUAAUACGGAAGGUGCGAGCGUUAAUCGGAAUUACUGGGCGUAAAGCGCACGUAGGCGG